rnacentral:lncRNA from 1 species
GCAUAAGCUUCCUGCUAAAUUCUGUAGAUGACACCUUCUAUUUAUGGGUUACAUUAUCUGGUUGUUGGAAUUAUUGUGAUCUAACAUCUCCAGCCUGGGCAACAAGUGCGAAACUCAGUCUCAAAAAAAAAAAAAAACAAAAACUUAUAGGGAAUAAUUUUGUGACCUCAGUGAAAAUGGACUAAAUGUCUCAUAGUAGGUCUUUUCCAUCCUUGAUUCCUCAUUCAGGUUUUCUGUGGCCACCACAUAACCAGAUGAGGUGCUCCUCAGCUUCUCCUGGCCACCUUAGGAAAGAAUUCCAAAGACUAGGAUAGGACUUCAUCUUUUAUUCUUUUUAAAAUCGACAUUUUAAUUAGAUCUUAUAUUGUUUAUGCAUCAGUGAAAAGGUAAAAAAUAACAGAGGCUUAAAAGGGGCAAAAACCUGGUGAAGUUGGUCCUUCUUAGUAGUGAUAGAAACUAGACAGUUGGCGUUAUAGUUUGGUUUUAUAAUGUUUGCUAUAAGAAGAGGCAGUUGAUAUCAUGGUAGGUUUUAUUUAUGUUUAUGGGAGGAAAUGACAAAGUUCCAGGUAGGUGUGGUCCUACUUCUAUAAUGAUUCAUGUGUGCAACAAAACAAAUUUAGCCAUACUUUCCCAGACUUACUUCAUACCCUUAAAUGAACAAAGGACAUUCAGAUUUUUCAUUUCCAUUGUGGUAAGACUUAUAUUCCAUUGUGGAUGUAUGUGGGAAACUUUAAAUUGUGACUUUCUUUUUUUUUUUGGAGACAGAGUUUU